rnacentral:rRNA from 1 species
CGCUGGCGGCGUGCUUAACACAUGCAAGUCGAACGCGAAAGGGACUUCGGUCCUGAGUAAAGUGGCGCACGGGUGAGUAACGCGUAGAUAACCUGUCUUCAUGUCUGGAAUAAUACGCCGAAAGGGGUACUAAUACCGGAUAUUCUUGCUUUUCAUAAGUUAUGCAAGCAAAGGUGGCCUCUGCAUAUGCUAUUGCAUGAAGAGGGGUCUGCGUACCAUUAGCUAGUAGGUGGGGUAAUGGCCUACCUAGGCGACGAUGGUUAGCGGGUCUGAGAGGAUGAUCCGCCACACUGGCACUGGAACACGGGCCAGACUCCUACGGGAGGCAGCAGUGAGGAAUAUUGCGCAAUGGGGGAAACCCUGACGCAGCGACGCCGCGUGAGUGAGGAAAGGCCUUCGGGUCGUAAAGCUCUGUCAAGAGGAAAGAAGUGUACAAUGGCUAAUACCUGUUGUAUUUGACGGUACCUCUAAAGGAAGCACUGGCUAACUCCGUGCCAGCCGCUGC